GGGUCAGUAGGUUGGUCGUGCCACCGGUAUGCACUGGUCUCACUGAUUCCUCCUUCUUGUAGAACCGUAAUGCCAUUUAGUUGGUGUUGCGGGGAAACAGGACUGUUACUUUGAAAAAAUUAGAGUGUUCAAAGCAGGCAAUCGAGCCUUGAAUACUUCAGCAUGGGAUAAUGGAACAGG
rnacentral:rRNA from 1 species